GAAGAAAAAAGCUUGGUUUUGGUGAUUCAAGUAAGGAACGGUUUCCUGAGUUGCUCCUCCCUGUACAUUGCUCGGUAGGUUUAAUGUGACACUAAGUGUUAUCAAUCGUGCCCAGAGUCACUUCGUUGAUAGUCAAGGUUUAAUUAUGUGUAUGUGAAUAUUUAAUGUGAACAUUAAGAAUCAUUGUUAAUCUAUUAAUGAAUAUAUUGGUGGAUGAUGCCAUUAUGAAUGUAUGAUUGGUUUU